CAGAAAAAGACUUCCCUAUGCGUUCUCUAGGAUGUCUGUAUUCUCUUAGAAAUUCACUUGAGAAUUAUUUUCAAAGAGGUUGGACGCUGAAGAACAGUGUCUUUGUCAUAUUUGAAUUGAUGGUUCUGUAUCUAAUGCCUUUUCUGAAAAGAAGUCAUUCAGUAUUGCAAAUACAUAAAUAUAGAUAUACCUGGUGCAAUAAAGUUGUGACUUUUGUGAAAAGA